UCAACCGAGAUUCCCCCAGUAGCGGCGAGCGAACGGGGAGGAGCCCAGAGCCUGAAUCAGUGUGUGUGUUAGUGGAAGCGUCUGGAAAGGCGCGCGAUACAGGGUGACAGCCCCGUACACAAAAAUGCACAUGCUGUGAGCUCGAUGAGUAGGGCGGGACACGUGGUAUCCUGUCUGAAUAUGGGGGGACCAUCCUCCAAGGCUAAAUACUCCUGACUGACCGAUAGUGAACCAGUACCGUGAGGGAAAGGCGAAAAGAACCCCGGCGAGGGGAGUGAAAAAGAACCUGAAACCGUGUACGUACAAGCAGUGGGAGCACGCUUAGGCGUGUGACUGCGUACCUUUUGUAUAAUGGGUCAGCGACUUAUAUUCUGUAGCAAGGUUAACCGAAUAGGGGAGCCGAAGGGAAACCGAGUCUUAACUGGGCGUUAAGUUGCAGGGUAUAGACCCGAAACCCGGUGAUCUAGCCAUGGGCAGGUUGAAGGUUGGGUAACACUAACUGGAGGACCGAACCGACUAAUGUUGAAAAAUUAGCGGAUGACUUGUGGCUGGGGGUGAAAGGCCAAUCAAACCGGGAGAUAGCUGGUUCUCCCCGAAAGCUAUUUAGGUAGCGCCUCGUGAAUUCAUCUCCGGGGGUAGAGCACUGUUUCGGCAAGGGGGUCAUCCCGACUUACCAACCCGAUGCAAACUGCGAAUACCGGAGAAUGUUAUCACGGGAGACACACGGCGGGUGCUAACGUCCGUCGUGAAGAGGGAAACAACCCAGACCGCCAGCUAAGGUCCCAAAGUCAUGGUUAAGUGGGAAACGAUGUGGGAAGGCCCAGACAGCCAGGAUGUUGGCUUAGAAGCAGCCAUCAUUUAAAGAAAGCGUAAUAGCUCACUGGUCGAGUCGGCCUGCGCGGAAGAUGUAACGGGGCUAAACCAUGCACCGAAGCUGCGGCAGCGACGCUUAUGCGUUGUUGGGUAGGGGAGCGUUCUGUAAGCCUGUGAAGGUGUGCUGUGAGGCAUGCUGGAGGUAUCAGAAGUGCGAAUGCUGACAUAAGUAACGAUAAAGCGGGUGAAAAGCCCGCUCGCCGGAAGACCAAGGGUUCCUGUCCAACGUUAAUCGGGGCAGGGUGAGUCGACCCCUAAGGCGAGGCCGAAAGGCGUAGUCGAUGGGAAACAGGUUAAUAUUCCUGUACUUGGUGUUACUGCGAAGGGGGGACGGAGAAGGCUAUGUUGGCCGGGCGACGGUUGUCCCGGUUUAAGCGUGUAGGCUGGUUUUCCAGGCAAAUCCGGAAAAUCAAGGCUGAGGCGUGAUGACGAGGCACUACGGUGCUGAAGCAACAAAUGCCCUGCUUCCAGGAAAAGCCUCUAAGCAUCAGGUAACAUCAAAUCGUACCCCAAACCGACACAGGUGGUCAGGUAGAGAAUACCAAGGCGCUUGAGAGAACUCGGGUGAAGGAACUAGGCAAAAUGGUGCCGUAACUUCGGGAGAAGGCACGCUGAUAUGUAGGUGAGGUCCCUCGCGGAUGGAGCUGAAAUCAGUCGAAGAUACCAGCUGGCUGCAACUGUUUAUUAAAAACACAGCACUGUGCAAACACGAAAGUGGACGUAUACGGUGUGACGCCUGCCCGGUGCCGGAA
rnacentral:rRNA from 1 species